rnacentral:rRNA from 1 species
UCCUUUUUCUGGCGACGAGUGGCGGACGGGUGAGUAAAGUAUGGGGAUCUGCCGAAUGGAGGGGGACAACUGCUGGAAACGGCAGCUAAUACCGCAUAAAGUUGAGAGACCAAAGCGUGGGACUUUUUAGCCACGCGCCAUUUGAUGAACCCAUAUGGGAUUAGCUUGUUGGUAGGGUAAUGGCUUACCAAGGCGACGAUCUCUAGCUGGUCUGAGAGGAUGACCAGCCACACUGGAACUGAGACACGGUCCAGACUCCUAUGGGAGGCAGCAGUGGGGGAUAUUGCACAAUGGGGGAAACCCUGAUGCAGCCAUGCCGCGUGUAUGAAGAAGGCUUUCGGGUUGUAAAGUACUUUCGGUAAUGAGGAAGGUGUAUUAUCUAACAGGUAAUGCAAUUGACGUUAGUUACAGAAGAAGCACCGGCUAACUCCGUGCCAGCAGCCGCGGUAAUACGGAGGGUGCGAGCGUUAAUCGGAAUAACUGGGCGUAAAGGGCAUGCAGGCGGGUCAUUAAGUUAGGUGUGAAAUCCCCGGGCUCAACCUGGGAACUGCACUUAAAACUGGUGGUCUGGAGUAUUGUAGAGGAAGGUAGAAUUCCACGUGUAGCGGUGAAAUGCGUAGAGAUGUGGAGGAAUACCGGUGGCGAAGGCGGCCUUCUGGACAAAUACUGACGCUGAGAUGCGAAAGCGUGGGGAGCAAACAGGAUUAGAUACCCUGGUAGUCCACGCUGUAAACGAUGUCGAUUUGGAGUUUGGUGGCAUGACUGCUGGGGCUUCA